AUGAUGCAUCUUGAUCCUCAAUCCGCUACCCUUCUCGCUGUCUUCGCCUUCGUCUGCGAAGCCAUGGUGGGCAUUGCUCCUUCCAUUGCCCUUUUGCGCCACUUCUUCUCCUUGCGCCUGACCGACCCAUUGCAAUGUUUGGGGUGCGUGAGCUUCCAGGCUGUGGCAGAGACGGCUGCCUCGGGGAUUGAUUUUGGCCUUCCACCUUCCAUGAGUGGGUUCCGGAUGCGGUGGCUGUAUGUGGAUGUCGGAGUGCCCAGCCCCCUGCUUUCGCAUCUGACAUUGCCUGCUAUCCCCAAUUCGGGCUGGGGCCAUGAGAAGCUCGUGAGCCCCCGGCUCUCCUUCGUUUGGCGCCAACUGGGGAGGUUGAGGGAGCUUGGCGUGACUGCGCCCUGA
rnacentral:rRNA from 1 species